ACGGGUGAGUAACACGUGGGUAACCUGCCCAUCAGAAGGGGAUAACACUUGGAAACAGGUGCUAAUACCGUAUAACACUAUUUUCCGCAUGGAAGAAAGUUGAAAGGCGCUUUUGCGUCACUGAUGGAUGGACCCGCGGUGCAUUAGCUAGUUGGUGAGGUAACGGCUCACCAAGGCCACGAUGCAUAGCCGACCUGAGAGGGUGAUCGGCCACACUGGGACUGAGACACGGCCCAGACUCCUACGGGAGGCAGCAGUAGGGAAUCUUCGGCAAUGGACGAAAGUCUGACCGAGCAACGCCGCGUGAGUGAAGAAGGUUUUCGGACCGUAAAACUCUGUUGUUAGAGAAGAACAAGGAUGAGAGUAAAAUGUUCAUCCCUUGACGGUAUCUAACCAGAAAGCCACGGCUAACUACGUGCCAGCAGCCGCGGUAAUACGUAGGUGGCAAGCGUUGUCCGGAUUUAUUGGGCGUAAAGCGAGCGCAGGCGGUUUCUUAAGUCUGAUGUGAAAGCCCCCGGCUCAACCGGGGAGGGUCAUCGGAGACUGGGAGACUUGAGUGCAGAAGAGGAGAGUGGAAUUCCAUGUGUAGCGGUGAAAUGCGUAGAUAUAUGGAGGAACACCAGUGGCGAAGGCGGCUCUCUGGUCUGUAACUGACGCUGAGGCUCGAAAGCGUGGGGAGCGAACAGGAUUAGAUACCCUGGUAGUCCACGCCGUAAA
rnacentral:rRNA from 1 species